rnacentral:misc_RNA from 1 species
AGGCUCUCGCAUCGAUGAAGAACGCAGCGAAAUGCGAUACGUAAUGUGAAUUGCAGAAUUCAGUGAAUCAUCGAAUCUUUGAACGCAUAUUGCGCUCUUUGGUAUUCCGAGGAGCAUGCUUGUUUGAGUAUCAGUAAAUACCUCAAAGCUUUUGGAUUUUUUUUGAAAGUUUUGGACUUGAGCAAUCCCAACACCAAUCUUUUUCAGAUCGGCGGCGGGUUGCUUGAAAUGCAGGUGCAGCUGGACAUUCUCCUGAGCUAAAAGCAUAUUCAUUUAGUCCCGUCAAACGGAUUAUUACUUUUGCUGCAGCUAACAUAAAGGGAGUUUGACCGUAUUGGCUGACUGAUGCAGGAUUUUACAAGGGUCGGCGACGAUUCUUGUUAAACUCGAUCUCAAAUCAAGUAAGACUACCCGCUGA